UACGUAGGUGGCGAGCGUUGUCCGGAAUUAUUGGGCGUAAAGCGCGCGCAGGUGGGAUCUUAAGUCCAUUUUGAAAGUUCGGAGCUCAACUCCGUGAGGGGAUGGAAACUGAGAUUCUUGAGUAUCGGAGAGGAAAGCGGAAUUCCCCGUGUAGCGGUGAAAUGCGUAGAUAUGGGGAGGAACACCAGUGGCGAAGGCGGCUUUCUGGACGAUGUCUGACACUGAGGCGCGAAAGCCAGGGGAGCAAACGGG
rnacentral:rRNA from 1 species